rnacentral:rRNA from 1 species
GAUGAACGCUAGCUACAGGCUUAACACAUGCAAGUCGCGGGGCAGCAUGGGGGUUGCUUGCAAUCCCCGAUGGCGACCGGCGCACGGGUGAGUAACGCGUAUCCAACCUGCCCUUCACCACGGGAUAACCCGGCGAAAGUCGGACUAAUACCGUAUGUUGUCCAUUGACGGCAUCCGAUUUGGACGAAAGGUUUGGCGGUGAAGGAUGGGGAUGCGUCCGAUUAGCUGGACGGCGGGGUGACGGCCCACCGUGGCGACGAUCGGUAGGGGUUCUGAGAGGAAGGUCCCCCACACUGGAACUGAGACACGGUCCAGACUCCUACGGGAGGCAGCAGUGAGGAAUAUUGGUCAAUGGGCGUAAGCCUGAACCAGCCAAGUAGCGUGCACGAUGACGGCCCUAUGGGUCGUAAACUGCUUUUAUGCGGGGAUAAAGUGGCCCACGUGUGGGUUUUUGCAGGUACCGCAUGAAUAAGGACCGGCUAAUUCCGUG